rnacentral:lncRNA from 1 species
CCGUGUUUAGUUAGAUAAUAUAUUGUGAAUAUAACCUCUUCACAAAAAUAAUUUUACAGUAGUUGUCAACAUAAGAUAUAUUUAACUUAGUAGAUGAUAUAGUUCUGUUAAGCGCAGUGAUGGUUAAUAACAGGGUAGACAGGUUUUUAUAGAAGAGGUGUGCGAAUUUCACACACUUUUAUCCAGAUAAAUAUAUGGUUGGU